rnacentral:rRNA from 1 species
GACGUAGGGCGCGAGCGUUGUCCGGAUUUAUUGGGCGUAAAGAGCUCGUAGGCGGCUUGUCGCGUCGUCCGUGAAAACCUGUGGCUCAACUGCAGGCUUGCGGUCGAUACGGGCAGGCUAGAGUUCGGUAGGGGAGACUGGAAUUCCUGGUGUAGCGGUGAAAUGCACAGAUAUCAGGAGGAACACCGGUGGCGAAGGCGGGUCUCUGGGCCGAUACUGACGCUGAGGAGCGAAAGCGUGGGGAGCGAACAGG